rnacentral:snRNA from 1 species
UUGCUUUGGCAGCACAUCUACUAAAACUGGAACAAUACAGAGAUGCGCAUGGCCUCAUCUGAUGAUAGCAAAUUCGUGAAGCAUUCCAUUUUUUA